rnacentral:lncRNA from 1 species
GGAAGUUGUUCCUGUGGCGCCUAGACCAAUUGAAGUGAAAGCUGAUGACAGUGAUCAUGAAGCUUCAGGAUCAAGUUACUACAAACCUCGUAGGUCGACAAGGUCACAUACUGCUCCAGAGUCCUACGGUAACCUAGUCUUGGAGGUCAUGUUGUUGGACAAUAAUGAACCUACCAGCUACGGAGAAGCGAUGGUGGGCCCGGUUCCGACAAAUGGCCGGAGGCCAUGAAACCCGAGAUAGGAUCCAUGUAUGAAAAUAAAGUGUGGACUUUGGAAGACCUACUUGAUGGUCGUAAGACUAUUAAGUACAGAUGAAUCUUUAAAAGGAAGACGGACGAUGAUGGUGAAAAGUCACCAUUAGGAAAGCUCAACUUGUCGCAAAGAUGUUUCCGACAAGUUCAAAGACUUGACUAUGAUGAGACUUUCUCAUUCGAAGCGAUACUAAAAGUCUGUUGGAAUUAUGUUAGUAGUUGCUGCAUUAUUGAUGAAAUCUUGGAGAUAGGAUGUCAAAACAUUGUUUCCUCGAUGAUUUCCUUGAGGAAAGGUUGUAUGUGAUACAACCAGAAGGUUUUGUCGAUCCUAUGGAUGCUAACAAGUAUUCAAGCUCCAGCAAUCCUUCUAUGGAUUGGUGCAAGUAUCUCUGAGUUGGAAUAUACGCUUUGAUGAGAUGAUCAAAGCUUUUGGUUUAUACAAAGUAUUUCCAAGGAAGUGAGUGGGAGCACUAUAGAACUUCUGAUGAGUAUAUUUGGUUGACAUAUUGUUGAUCGGAAAUGAUGUAGAAUUUCUUGAAAGCAUAUAGGGUUGUUCGAAAAGGUGUUUUCAGAGAAAACCCUGGAAUGAGCUACUUGAACAUUGAGCAUCAAGAUAUAUAGAGAUAGAUAAGGACGCUUGAUAAAACUUUCAAUGAAAUGCAUGCCUUGACAAAUUUUUGAAGGAGUUCAAAAUAGAUCGGCAAAGAAUGAGUUCUUGGCUGUUUUUAAGGUGUGAAUAUGAGUAAGACUCAAAGUCCGACCACGACAGAAGAAAGAGAAAGGACGAAGGUCGUCCCCUUUGCAUUAGCCAUAGGCUCUAUAGUAUGCUAUGUUGUGUACCGCACCUGAUGGGUGCCUUGCCAUGAAUUUGUUAAGGGGUACGAAAGUGAUCCACGAAUAGAUUAUUGGACAACGGUUAAAAGUUAUCCUUAGUAACUAGUGGACUAAGGAAUUUUUUCUCGAUUAGGGAGGUGUUAAAAGAGUUCGUUGUAAAGGGUUACGCCGAUGCAAGCUUUGACAUUAUUCCGAAAAACUCUGAGUAGUAAACCGGAUUCGUAUAGUGGAGCAGUCAUUUGGAAUAGUUCCAAAAUGGCACGUUGGUAGCAGCACCUACAGGAUGACAUAGAGAUUUGUAAAGCACACUCAGAUCUGAAAGGUUCAGACCCGUUGACUAAAACCUCUCUCACAAGCAAGACAUGAUCAAACCCCAGAACUGUAUGGGUGUUAGAUUCAUCAAAAUCACAUAGUGAUGUGAACUAGAUUAUUGACUCUAGUGCGAGUGGGAGACUAUUGGAAAUAUGCCCUAGAGGCAAUAAUAAAUUGGUUAUUAUUAUAUUUCCUUGUUCAUGAUAGUCAUUUAUUAUCCAUGCUAUAAUUGUAUUUAUUGGAAACUCAAAUACAUGUGUGGAUACAUAGACAAAACAUUGUCCCUUGUAAGCCUCCAGUUGACUAGAUCGUUGAUCAAAGAUGAUUAAGGUUUCCUAGCCAUAGACAAGUGUUGUCACUUGAUAACGGGAUCACAUCAUUAGGAGAAUGAUGUGAUGGAAAAUACCCAAACUAGAAACGUAGCAUAUGAUCGUGUCAGUUUAUUGCUACUGUUUUCUGCAUGUCAAUGUAUCUGUUCCUAUGACCAUGAGAUCAUGCAACUCCCGGACACCGGAGGAAUACCUUGUGUGUAUCAAAUGUCGUAACAUAACUAGGUGACUAUAAAGGUGCUCUACAGGUAUCUCUGAAGGUGUCCGUUGAGUUCGCAUGGAUCAAGACUGGGAUUUGUCACUCCGUGUGACGGAGAGGUAUCUCGGGACCCACUCGGUAAUACAACAUCACAGACAAGCCUUGCAAGCAAUGUGACUUAAGAGUUAGCCACCGGAUCUUGUAUUAUGGAUCGAGUAAAGAUACUCGCGCUAACAAGAUUGAAAUAGGUAUGAAGAUACCGACGAUCAAAUCUCGGGCAAGUUACAUUCCGAAGGACAAAGGGAAUGAUAUACGGGAUUGUGUAAAUCCUUGACAUAGAGGUUCAACCGAUAAGAUCUUCGUAGAAUAUGCAGGAUCCAAUAUGGACGUCCAGGUCCCGCUAUUGGAUAUUGGCCGGAGAAUGUCUCGGUCAUGUCCACAUAGUUCUCGAACCAGCAGGGUCUGCACACUUAUGGUUCAGUGACGAUAUAAGUAUAGUUGAGUUGUUAUGUUGGUGACCGAAGGUUGUUCGGAGUUUCGGAUAAGAUCACGGACAUGACGAUGUACUUCGAAAUAGUCCUGAGGUAAAGAUUGAUAUAUGGGACAAUAGUGUUUGGUCUCUCGAAUUGUUUUGGAAUUCACCGAAAGGGGUUUCCGAUGUUUCCGAAAUAUUCGGGUACGAGAACACCUUUACUUGGGCCAGGGGGGAAGCCCACGAGGCUUUAGGUAGUUGCAAAAGGAGUUUUGCAAAGGCCACCGGCCAGACGCUGGGGACCCUGGUGUUUGGGGCCAGACGCCGAGGACCUUGGCGUUUGGUCCUGGAGUCCGAGGAGGACUCUUGCAUUUCGUGCAAAACCGACUUUGAGGAGGUUUUUUCUUGAAGAAAUGACCCCAGGGCUCAGCAUACAAAUAGAGAGACACGGCUAGCACCUAGAAUACAUCAAGAUUGCCCCAAGUCGUGUGCCGGCAACCCCGCCCCUCUAGUUCAUCCUCUGUCAUAUUUUCCGUUGUGCUUGGCGAAGCCCUGCGGAAAUAAUUUCACCACCACCGACACCAUGCCGCCGUGCUACCGGAACUCAUCUACUAAUUUGCCCCUCUUGCUGGAUCAAGAAGGCGAGGACGUAAUCGAGCCGUACGUGUGCUGAACGCGGAGGUGCCGUCCUUUCCGCACUAGAUCGGGAUGAAUCAUGAUGGGAUCGCGGGACGGAUCGUGAUGAGAUCGCGGGAUGGGCUGAGAUUUGUAUCGCAAAGAUGUUCCACUACAUCAACCGCGUUAUAUACGCUUUCGCUUAGCGAUCUACAAGGGUAUGUAGAUUCACUCUCCCCUCUCGUAGAUGAUCAUCACCAUGGAUAGGUAUUGCGUGUGCGUAGGAAAUUUUUUGUUUCCCAUGCACCGUUCCUCAACAGAUAUAACAAAAAAUCCAUGUUGGCACAUGGAAGCAACUGCACUUGCAACUAGCAGCGCUAUAAGAAGGCUGAGAAGGCGGUAACAUAGCCAAACAAGGGCUUGCUGGGUUGUGGAAGGGUUAGAGGCUUUUCAUGGUAAUAUUGGGAGGCUUGACAUAACAAGUGGUAGGCAGCGAGACAUAGCCAUAGAAAUGAGACAAGUAGCAUAGGAAUGAUAGUAGUGGUAUCUAGGGAAAUUAUCAUCUUCCCUGUGAUCCCUCUUGGAAGAAGAACGAACCGGUGAAGCAGACGAACCAACACAGUCGAACGAAUCCUCACACUCUGACGCGCUUGCAGAACUCAAUCGAGAAGAACCAAUCCGGAAACAACAAUCAACACACGACAAACAACACAACAUAUUCAUGGCAUGAUGGGAAGCAAUUAUGAUGCAUGUCCAUUUAAUUAUGCACGACACGACAAAGCACAAUAAUUUAUUAUUGCACAUUAAACGAAGCUCAAUAUGCAAUGAGUUGCAGAUCGACACAACUUCGCAUUUCGAUUACUUAGUUUGCUCCUGUUUAGGUACUCGACAAUGUUAAAUGUUGUUAAACAUGGCAAGAGGUGAACCAUAAUUAAACUAUAUUAUCUAGGCAUUUUAAAUGAGGUCGGAAACAAGAUAUACCAUUUCUGAAACGACACCAUAUGUUAAUUUCGGAAAUAAAGUGAUUUUACAAUUCCGAAAUGAUCCCAUAUGUUAAAUGAGGUCCAGAUCUGAUCUAAUCACAUUUAAUAUUUAUUAAACAGGAAAAUAAAGUGCAUCAUGUGAUUUUACACGUCAUCCUAGUCGAUUAACAUAUAAAAAUCAUCUAAAAUGGAGCUACGGUCUAAAAGAUAUGAGCAACAUAAGAUAAUAUUCCAUGAAUGUAAAAUGUAUGCAAAUGAGAGCCACAAGCAUGUUAAAACAUGGAUGAACAAGAUAUUAUGGAACUAAAUGAAAUUCUAGACAAGUUUAAUGAGGCCGGAAGAACGACUAACAAUUGCAAAAAUUUCCCAUAUGCAAAUUAAGAUUAGGUACUGUUCUGCCUAUAACACAUUUUAGAAUUUUGAAGCAGCAAAAUAAAUGUCAGCAUGUUGUUCUACACAUCUUUCUAGUGAAGUUACAUAUGUGGAUCAUUUUAUUGAGAGCUAUAGUUAAUUAAUUCUGAAACAAACCGUUUUAAAAUGACAUUAACGCAAAAAUAUUACAAACAAUAAGAUAAAUAUUUUUAACAUGGUUGCAAAUUGGAUAUUGUGAAAUUCCGAAAAUUCUGAACAUUUUACAUGUAUGAAGUUUAUAAAUCCGAUGCACGGUUAUGUUGCUAUGAAUUAAAUCAUUUUAAUAUGGCAUCACACAAAAUAAUGCAAACAACGGGUUAAACAUUUUUAAACAUGCAUGAAAGUUACAAAUUAUUAAUCUACGCAAAAUUUUAGAAAUUCCACAUAUAUAAUCUUUUUACAUAUGAUGCACGGCUUGAGAGUUAGCAAUUUAAAAAUAUGCAAUUUUCUAUAAAACUAACAUUCCUGAGAUAAAUAGAUUAAGUCAUAGAACCUAAGAAAGCUAAACAUGCUGAAUCUGCUUCUGCUGGGCUACACAAAUGUGGGCGCUGGUUGGUGACGCGGCACGACAAUCAAUGGAGAGGGAUUGGGUUUCCAUAUUAGGACGAGGGGGCUAUUUAUAGCAGAUCUUGCUAUGGUUAGGGGAUUUUAGCCCUAUUCGAGCCGUUCGAUCACAAUCGGAUGGCUCCGGUCACGGGUAGGGGCUAGGCUAGGAUAGUAGGUUGUGUAGAGGUGUUGGGGUGAGAGAAGGUAGAGGAAAUUAGCAGCCCAACAACAAUUUAGGAACACCGAAAAUGUGUGCAACUUGACCGGCUAUGGUGUCGCUAUAGGUUUAACGGUUCAGGUGUAAAACAAUCUUCGAUUGCGACAAAAUUUGGUAGGCGGCGUAUCUACACUAUAUUUAGACCACAUGCCAACUUUCAACCCAUUCCAAGAAUGUUUUAUAGACAUUUUUAAAAACAAUAUUUUAAUGAUGCUGCAUAUGUGUGCUUGUGUGGUUGGUCUUGAAAUGGACAACGACAAAAACUGAGAGAACCGGCAACUUAUACUGGAUGCAAGUUUUGAAAAAUGACGGUAAUGGUGUGCCGAUGCAAUGCGGAUGAUGCGACGACGAAUGCGACAAAAAAAAGAAUCACACGAUGACAAUGGAAUAAAUGGGAAUCUUCUAGGACGUCGGUUCCGGACAUUUACAACUCUCCUACACUAACAAGAGAUCUCGACCCGAGAUCUAAGAAUGAAAAGGGGGAUUGGAAGAGGAAAGGAAGAGGUAAAACUUAGUUGCUUCUUGGCAAACGAAUGAAUCCAACGAUCCUUGAAGGUUGCAAAGAGAUGAAGAAUGACAUGAGGAACAAAGAAGAAUUCAAAAGAAAUUUCGACAUCACUUCGGCAGGAAAUAGAAGAAAACUUGAUAAGAUGAAAAGAACUUGAAAAGAUUACACAACACUCCGGUUAAAUGAAUCAAGCAAAUAAAUAACAUGAUCUUGAUAAGACAAUAUAAUGGAUGAAAGAGGGCAACAUCACAACGCCUCCGAAACAAAGAAUGGAAUCUAGAUCAUUUGACGGAGAAGAAAAUGACAACUUCUACCACAAUUGGAUUAAAGAGCAUCAUUACAGAGGAUGAUUGAAUGGAGUUGUAGGAAAAUCAACAACGAAAAGAACAAGCUUGUAGUGGACUUAUGAAAACCAUCUCAAAUAAUGAGGUGACAACCGGCCACUAACUGAAACAGAGAUUGCUUGGGAGCAACAAGAUACGCAAAACUUCUUCCACCAACAGCAUAUAUUGAGAACUUCGGUCAACAAUAAUCCCCAUACAGCAAUAAUCAGUCAGAAAAGUUUUAGGUGAAAUCCAAUCCAAGAUAACUUCAGUGAAGAAACCAUGAGUUAAAAAUAUCUCAUGGUCAAGAAAUUGGUGAGUUUAACUAUCUCAUUAUUGAAACAAAUUCUCUUCGAGACUCCUCCACUAACAACAAUGCUAUAACACCACCUCAAAGGAUGAUGGAGGAAGAAUUGCACUUUGAAAUGCAAGAGAAAGAAUACUUGAAGUUCUCCAACAAGAAUCUUGAAGAACACCUUGAGAAUGGAUAAAAUCCUUGAUGAACCACCAUGAAUAGCCUUCGUAUACAAAAGAAUGAUCAAAAGAAAUGAAGGACCAAAAGAAAUAAGAUUAAGUCCUUGCAAAGAUUUAGAUGAUGCUUCACGAAGAGAUACCUGAGAAAAGCUUGGAAUCCCGAAAUAGAAAAGAUGAACAACUUAGAAUCGAGAAUUUGAUAUCAUGAACAACCACGCAAGAAGAAUUGAAAUCACCUUGAAGAAACAAGAACAAGAAUUAUGUUAUGCUUAUCCUUCAUCAAGUUAAAUUGAUGACAAUCGUUGGAUUUGGCAUACAACUUAUUCUUCUUGAAAAAGAAUGAAAAGAGAUAGGGCACAAACUUGAAGAAGUCUUCGAUAAAACAACAAUAAGAAUAUGGAAUGAAUGAGGAAACCAAGAAUGAAUGGAGAUACAUGAGAACGAAGAGAUCAGGAUCCACCUCAGAGAAAACUUGAACAAGGCACCGGAAUAAUUAAGAUACAAACGAAGGGACAACAGUUGAGGAGAAUUUGAGAAUGAAGCUGAAAGCUGAGAACGAAGAAAUCUUCUGAAAUGAACACAACUCUGAAAUGCACCAGAUAGAUAUGGAAGGAAUUACUCAUGAUCGAAAACAAUUUGAGAGAGAGAGCACGGAGCUGAGAUGACAAUCUUCAAAGUAUUGGCAAACAUUCAAGAGGAACUCUUCUUCGGUCUUCAAUGCACAGAAUGAUGACAACAAGCACCACCAAGAAUUAUUGAGACACUCCAGAAUAAAGAAUAAGAAUAGUUGAGCCAAUGAUGGAAAUAAUUCGGAUCGAUCUGAAGAAGGAAUAUGACUGAUUACAAUAAUUCUUACAUCAUAAUUAAAAAGACCUUGAGAUAUUCAGAAAAGAUUACAUGAGCUAGGUAUGAUCAUGGAGAAGAACCUGUGGGUUAUGGGCCCACUCAAAAGAAACCACCAUUGAAAAGAUUGCUAAGAAAAAUUUAUUUCACCGAUACAAAUGAAACUUGAUGAGAUGAGACCCUUGAAAUAAUUGAAAGGAUUGAAAAUAAUAAACUUCUGAGAUAUCUUCAACGUUGUAGAUAGAAAGAGAGGAAUGAAUAAAUCAGAGAGGCUUGAAUAAUAAUUUCCAACAUGGAAAAGCAUUGAAUGAAUGAAAAGGAUAUGAAGAACACCGAGAGAUUUAAUUGAAUCCAUCGGAGAAGAAAACAAGAAUGAUGAAUGAUGAACUCGAAACUCAUGAGAAUCUUCACAAUGAAUCACCAGAUACAAGAUAGAUGAAGCAUAAGUGAAAAGAAUGGCACUUGGAUGAUAAUUGAAUCAUUGAAGAAAAUGGGGGAAGGGUGGGGAAAAACAACGGCAACUUGAGACACAUUAGACAAACUCCGGAAAGAAAAGAAUUGUUAAGACAGUUUGAUUGAGCAAAAGAAUUAAUUAGUACUACCAUAGAAAUAUGAGAACACCACUUAGAAAAGAUAUGAAAUCACCACUUGACGUCAAAGCAACUCGAAUUACCAUACUCCAACAAAACAAAGGAUGAGGCUUACGAAACAAGCCGGAAACAAAUUAAUGAUAGAGAUUCCGUUUGAUAUUUUCAUGGUGAGGAUCGGAUGGGCUCUAUCUUAAAUAACCAUCAUGUACAAGGCAGUGCACACGACAUACAAAGUGUUCCUAAGUCGUAGCAAGCUACAAUGACUCUUUAAGACACAACGAGAACCACUGUAAGAAAGACUGUGAACAAAUGAAUCCACUUGAGUCGAACCCCAACCUCACAUCAUGCAUUUGUUGGAAGAUAAUCCUAGGUAACUACUUGAAUUCCCACCUAAGAACUUUCAAAAAAAAUCGGUUAUGCAAUCGACUCCAUGGAUACGAAGAGUAAAAUCCAUCACUCAACUCCUAGCAAUAACACUGCCCGUCUAGUGUAAACCAGAGGCUUUCAUCCACAUAGGCAAGGUGACUCAUCUAGGGUUUUAGUUCAUACUAUCUCGAGGUCGAUCCACUCUAUAAUCCUCACACACAUCAAUAUAAUCAAGCAGGAUGUAGGGUUUUACCUCCUCAAGAGGGCCCGAACCUGGGUAAACAUUGUUUUCUUCGUCCCCUGUAACCCAUCGAUCCAAGGUCCAAAGCUCGGGACCCCCUACCCGAGCUCCGCCGGUUUUGACAGUGACAUUGGUGCUUUCAUUGAGAGUUCCACUGUGAGAUCACCGGAAGGAUUGAUGGCCGCUUAAAUAUAAGCGAUCGAAUCAGCAACAGGGACAUCUUCAUCCCCGGACAGGUUGUCGCGUUCGGCAGCUUGACGUAGCGCGUCGACCCGACUAACUGCCUUGCCCAGAUCGGAGGCUUUGCCCCCGAUCAAGAGAUAAUGUUCGGGAACCUGGAAUUCCCCGCCAACUCCCGUGGUGAUCUUUCCCCCGCUAAGAUCACAGUUUUGUCCGAUGAGCUCCAAAAUCUCGAAGCCGUGACUUCGGGUCUCUUGCCCGGCUAUGACCUCGGUCUCCUCUUUGUCGAAGAGUUGGCUUUGAGUCUGGAUCCGACCUCAGCGCCCCGGGCAACAGAAGACGUCCAUUUCCAAACACACAUCCCUAACAGAAGCGACGGAGGUCAACAUGAAAACCAUCAAGAGAUCGAUGAGGACAACCUCUCGAUGUUGAACGAGAUGCUCGAGCGAAUCCAGUCGUUGAAGAUCAGAUACGGCAUGAGCCUCACCUAUACUCGGAUCGGUUCAGAUGGGGAUUAUGAGGACUUUCACGGCCCACCCACCACCCACUUGGUAGCCGCCGUCGAAGACGUAACCGACAUGUUGGACUACGCCUCCUAGGGGGUUGAAGACAUGGAUGAUGAGGCCGAUGACCCCGCCCUUGUACAUGGUGGACAUAUACCUUUGACGUUGUUGGCCUCUUGUCCGCUAAGUACUUAGGGCAAUUUCGCUUCCAGUGACCGGUUCCCUUGCAGUAAUAACACUCAGUCUCAGGCUUGGGUCUUUUCUUUGGCUUCUUCCCGACAACUAGUUUACCGGGCGCGACAACUGCUUUGCCGCUUUCUUGAAGCUCUUCUUACCCUUGCCCUUCUUGAAACUGGUGGUCUUAUUGACCAUCAACACUUGAUGCUCUUUCUUGAUUUCUACCUUUGCAGAUUUCAACAUUGAAUACAACUCGGGAAUAGUCUGUCCAUCCCUUGCAUGUUGUAAUUCAUCACAAAGCCUUUAUAGCUGGGUGUAAGCGACUGGAGGAUUUUCUCAAUUACCACAUCAUCCGGAAGUUCAACUCCCAGCUGAGUCAAGUGGUUGUGCAACCCAGACAUUCUGAGUAUGUGCUCACUGACAGAACUAUUCUCCUCCAUCUUACAUCUGAAGAACUUGUCGGAGAAUUCAUAUCUCUUAACCCGGGCAUGAGCUUGAAAAACAAGUUUCAUCUACUCGAACAUCUCAUAUGCUCUGUGUUGCUCAAAACGGCUUUCGAGCCCCAGUUCUAAACUGUAAAGCAUGUCGCACUGAACCAGAGAGUAGUCAUCACUCCGCGACUGCGGGGCGUUCCUAGCGUCCUGGUCUUCCGCGGGAACGGGAGGAUCACCUAGCGGUGCAUUAAGGACAUAUGGCUUCUUUGAAGAAGUGAGGAUGAGCUUUAAGUUACAAGCUCAAUCCGCAUAGUUGCUCCCAUCAUCUUUCAGCUUGGUUUUCUCUAGGAACGCGUUGAAGUUGAAUGAGACAUUUGCGUUGUCCAUUGGAUCUACAAUAUUUGUAAAGACAAUUUUAGACUAAGUUCAUGAUAAUUAAGUUCAUCUAAUCAAAUUACUAAUGAACUCCCACUUAGAUCGACAUCCCUCUAGUCAUCCAAGUGUUACAUGAUCCAGGUCGACUAGCCCGUGUCCGAUCAUCACGUGAGACGGACUAGUCAUCGAUGGUGAGCAUCUCCAAGCUGAUCGUAUCAACCAUACGACUCAUGUUCGACCUUUCGGUCUCCCGUAUUCGAGGCCAUAUCUGUACAUGCUAGGCUCGUCGAGUCAACCUAAGUGUUUUGCGUGUGUAAACUGGCUUACACCCGUUGUAUGCGAACGUUAGAAUCUAUCACACCCGAUCAUCACGUGGUGCUUCGAGACAACGAUCCUUCACAAAGAUGCACAAAGAUGCACACUUAGGGAAAUUUUAAUGAGGGAUCAUCUUAUCUUUGCUACCGUCGUUCUAAGCAAUAAGAUGAAAAACAUGAUAAACAUCACAUGCAAUCAUAUAGUGACAUGAUAUGGCCAAUAUCAUCUUGCUCCUUUAAUCUCCAUCUUAGGGGCACCAUGAUCAUCAUUGUCACCGGCAUGACACCAUGAGCUCCAUCAUCAUGAUCUCCAUCAUUGUGUCUCCGUUUAUCAAUAAAGGAAAGUAACCACAUGGCAUUGCAUCUCAUACAAUAAAUUAAGACAACUCCUAUGGCUCCUGCCGGUUGUCAUACUCAUCGACAUGCAAGUCGUGAAUCCUAUUACAAGAACAUGAUCAAUCUCAUACAUCACAUAUGUAAUAUCACAUCCUUUUGGCCAUAUCACAUCACAUAGCAUACCCUGCAAAAACAAGUUAGACAUCCUCUAAUUGUUGUUGCAAGUACGUGGGUGAUUACGGUUUCUACCAAGAACGCUUCUUACCUAUGUGACAGCCACAACGUUGAUAUGCCAAUGCUAUUUACCCUUCAUAAGGACCCUCUUCAUCGGAUCCGAUCUGACUAAAGUGGGAGAGACAGGCACCCGUUAGCCACCAUAUGCACCAAGUGCAUGUCAGUCGGUGGUACCAGUCUCACGUAAGCGUACGUGUAAGGUCGGUCGGGCUGUUCAGCCCACAAUGCCGCCGAAUGAAGAUAAGACUAGUAACGACAAGCAAUUGACAAAAUCAGCGCCCACAACUUUUGUAUUCUACUCGUGCAUAGAAUCUACGCAUAGAACCUUGGCUCGGAUGCCACUGUUGGGUAACGUAGUAAUUUCAAAAAAAUUCUUACGUCAUGCAAGGAUCUAUCUAUGGAGAAACCAGCAACGAGCAAACGGGUAGAGCAUAUUCAUACCUUUGAAGAUUGCUAAGCGGAAGCGUUGCUAGAACGCGGUUGAUGGAGUCGUACUCGCAGCGAUUCAGAUCACGAUGGAUUCCGAUCUAUGCACCGAACGUCGGUGCCUCCAUGUUCAACACACGUGUAGCCCGGUGACGUCUCCAAUGCCUUGAUCCAGCAAGGAGGGAGGAGAGGUUGAGGGAGAGCUCCGACAGCACGAUGGCGUGGUGAUAGUGGAUUUACAUGGCACUCCGACAGGGCUUCGCCAAGCACUACGGAGGAUGAGGAGGAGGAGGUGUAGGGCUGCGCCGAGAGAGAGAGAGAGAGAGAAAAGUUGUCUCAAAUCAGCCCCAAACCCUCACUAUAUAUAGGAGGAGAGGGAGAAGGGUACCCAUCCUUAGGGUUUCCCACCCUAAGGGGUGCAGCAGCGCAUCUAGGGCAAGGGGCGGCGUCCAAGGUUGGAGAGGUGGUGGCGCCCUAGGGUGGCCUAGCCCACCACGCUCUCUCUUGCGCCUUGGGCUGAAGGUGGUGGCGCACCAGCCCACUUAUGGGCUGGUUCCCAUCCACUUUUGGCCCAACCACCCUUUCGUGGCUUGUGGCCCUUCCCGGUGGACGCCGGAAGCCUUCUGGUGGUCCCGGUACAUUACUGGUGUCGCCCGAAACACUUGAGGUGACCAAUUCCUCACUUCCUAUAUAUAAAUCUUUACCUCCAGACCAUUUCGGAAUUCCUCGUGAUGUCCAGGAUCUCAUCCGGGACUCCGAACAACCUUCGGUAACCACAUACACUAUUCCCCUAUAACCCUAGUAUCAUCGAACCUUAAGUGUGUAGACCAUGUGGGUUCGGGAAGCAUGUAGACAUGACUAAGACACCUCUUCGGUCAAUAACCAAAAGCGUGGUCUGGAUAUCCAUGUUGGUUCCCACAUGUUCCUCGAUGAUCUCAUCGGAUGAAACAUCGUGUCGAGGAUUCAAUCAAUCCCGUAUGCAAUUCCCUUUAUCUAUCGGUCCUAUACUUGCCCGAGAUUUGAUCGUCGGUAUCCCUAUACCUUGUUCAAUCUCGUUACCAGCAAGUCUCUUUACUCAUUCCGUAACACAUCAUCCCUUGGCUAACUCCUUAUUCACACUGAGCUCAAUAUGAUGAUGUAUUACCGAGUGGGCCCAUAGAUACCUCUCCGUCACAUGGAGUGACAAAUCCCAGUCUCGAUUCGUGCAACCCAACAGAUACUUUCGGAGAUGCCUGUAGUGCACCCUUAUAAUCACCCAGUUACAUUGUGGUGUUUGAUACACCCAAAGAAUUCCUACGGUAUCUAGCAGUUGCACAAUCUCAUGGUCUAAGGAAAUGAUACUUGACAUUAGAAAAGCUUUAGCAGACGAACAACAUGAUCUAGUGCUAUGCUUAGGAUUGGGUCUUGUCCAUCACACCAUUCCCCAAUGAUGUGAUCCCGUUAUCAAUGACAUCCAAUGUCCAUCAUCAGGAAACAAUGAUCAUCGAUUGAUCAACGAGCUAGCCAACUAGAGGAUCACUAGGGACACAUUGUGAUCUAUAUAUUCACACAUGUAUUAUGGUUUACGGUUAAUACAAUUAUAGCAUGAAAAAUAGACAAUAAUAACUACUUUGUUAUUGCCUCUAGGGCAUAUUUCGAAUAGUUGGGUGUCUAAAUAGGUCGGCAAACUGGCAGCCGAGGAACAAGGCAAGGGCCCACGAAGCGAGGACGACGAAGAGCCUCGUGGUCGAAACACUUAGGGCCAGAAAUAGUUCCCCCCAGAGGUGAAAACCGUGAAUAUGAUAUACGCUACUAACAUACCAAAGAAGGAGAGGAAUCAAGCCCUUCGGGAGGUAUACACCAUAUAGCGCAUAGCCCCAAAGUGCAACCCAUGUUCGGCUUGCCCGAUCACCUUCGACCGUAGGUAUCAUCCGACCAGUAUCCAUCACGGAGGGUCGGACGCCCUUGUCCUAGACCCCAUCAUAGAUUGGUACCACCUCACUAGUGUCCUUAUGUACCGAGGAAGUAGCCUUAACCUGAUUUACUCAGAUACGGUGAAAAAGAUGGGCAUAGACCCAUCAAGAAUCAGACCCAGCAACACUACCUUCAAAGGAGUGAUCCUAGGCGUCGAAGCCCGCUGCUCCGGCAUGGUAACGUUGGAGGUUGUGUUUGGCUCACCUACAACUUCAACAACAAAGACUUAAUCUUCGACAUCGUCCCCUUCUGCAGCGGGUCUCACGCACUACUCAGCCGCAAGGCAUUCACCCGCUUUAAUGUUGUGCCUCAUAAUGCCUAAAAAAAGCUCAAGAUGACCAGACCUAGGGGAGUUAUCACCCUCAACGGCAACAUAGAAUGCUCCCUUCGGACCAAGGAGCAUACAACGGCCUUGACAGCUGAAUGCCGAUACGACAACGAAACAUCAAUCUACAAGCUAGCCAUCAAGGAGUGGCAGGCGGGCAAGCGAGCCCGCGCUCAAUCGGAUCCCCCGAAGACAUAUUCGACUCAAAAAAAAUAGGGAUACGCUCCCCACGGCAUAGGCCGGUCACCCGUAAGGUAUGUCCCUCAUAGACACAAUUUCAUUCUCAAAAUACCAAGGGCAGCUAUGGGGAUCCAGCACCAAGGACCAUAUCUUCGGUUCAACCAAACUACGGUCCAAAGAUCUUAACGGACAAAAGCGAGAUACCAUUAAGGAUCGCCCAAGCGUCAAGCUCACCCAUAGCACGAUAGCUUUUCAAGACCCACUAUUCAAGGUCCAUCUGCCAACAACAACCACCUUUAAAGUAUACUACCACUCCCUUCUAAGAAGCAUAGGAUAAAUUGCGCAGCUAGAAGCAGGGCGGACGUCAAGUCACCCAUGGAAGGCCAUGGAGGAAAAGUUUCUUUGAAAUAUAUUGCUGAAAACAAUAAUUACUUGUAAAGCUUCCUUAGCGCCACGAAUUAUAAAAAAUUCGACCAAAUAUUAUCUAUAUACUCUUUUAUAGUAUUAUAUAUAUAUAUAUAUAUUUCUUGNNNNNNNNNNNNNNNNNNNNNNNNNNNNNNNNNNNNNNNNNNNNNNNNNNNNNNNNNNNNNNNNNNNNNNNNNNNNNNNNNNNNNNNNNNNNNNNNNNNNGCUUAGGAUCCCAAUGUGCUGGAAAGGAGACAGGAACUACCAGAAGACGAAGUCCAGGCCAGGCAGAUAGUCCGCAGGUCGAAGUCAUUCACUGUCAUUGAUGGCCAAUUGUACAGGGAGAGCGUUUCAGGCGUUCUCCAACGAUGCAUCUCCCCAGAGGAGGGGCAGCUGAUCCUAGAAGAUAUUCACUCGAGGACCUGCGGUCAUCACGCCUCUUCGAGAGCAAUCAUCGCCAAGGCAUUCAGGGCUGGUUUUUUCUGGCUGCAGGCAAACGAGAUGGCUAAAGAUAUGGUCGACCGAUGUGAGGGUUGUCAGUUCUACUCCAACAAGUCCCACAAGCUGACAUAUGCGUUGAAGACAAUCCCUCUUGUGUGGCUGUUUGCAGUUUGGGGAUUAGAUACAGUCGGACCAUUCAAGACAGGCCAAGGGGAAUACACACAUCUGUUGGUGGCAGUCGACAAGUUCACGAAAUGGAUCGAAGCCAAGCCCAUCAAGAAACUCGACGCCUCAACAGCCGUCAAGUUUAUCAGGGACAUCAUCUCCAGAUUCGGUGUACCUCACAGCAUAAUCAUGGACAACGGGACAAACUUUGACUCGGACAGAUUCAAAGGUUUCUGUGCAAGCCAAGGUAUCCGAGUGGAUUUCGCUUCCGUAGCACAUCCUCAAUCCAAUGGACAAGCAGAGCGGGCGAAUGGGCUUAUUCUUCAAGGUUUGAAGCCCCGACUCCUGCGAGAGGUGGGACACGCCGUUGGCGCAUGGGUCACCGAGUUACCUUCAGUACUUUGGGGUCUCCGCACAACCCCGAACAGAUCUACAGGGCGAUCAUCGUUCUUCCUCGUUUAUGGAGCAGAAGCGGUCCUUCCGAGUGACUUGCUUCACAAUGCACCACGAGUCGAACUCUUCUCCGAAGCUGAAGCAGAACAAGCAAGGCAAGAUGGAGUGGACCUUUUGGAGGAAGAGCGCGAGAUGGCACUGACUCGCUCAACCAUUUAUCAACAAGAUCUGUGGCGUUUUCAUGCACGCCACGUCAGGAGUUGCGCGUUCCAAGCAGGCGACCUGGUGCUCCGAGUGGAUCAGCAAAGACCUCACAAGUUGGCUCCGGCCUGGGAAGGACCUUUCAUCAUCUCCAAGGUGUUGAACAACGGAGCAUACAGACUCUACAACAUCGAGAGGGAGACAGACGAGCCGCAUGCAUGGAACGGAGACCUCCUGAAGCGCUUCUACACGUGAUCGUCGACUGAAGCAGUGUAAAGAACAAGUAUUGAUGAAAUAAUAUAAAGCAGAUUCAGUUUUUGCAGAUUCAGAAUUCUUCCGCGGUCGCAGACUCCGGUCACACAAAAAAAAAACUUAGUUGCGAUCCAGAAUCGCCUAAGUUCUAACUUCCUCCGAGUGUGCACUAAACGUCGCACUCGGGGNNNNNNNNNNNNNNNNNNNNNNNNNNNNNNNNNNNNNNNNNNNNNNNNNNNNNNNNNNNNNNNNNNNNNNNNNNNNNNNNNNNNNNNNNNNNNNNNNNNNACCCAGACGCCAGGGACCCUGGCGUCUGGGUUCUGAACCCAACUAGAUUAUAUGAUGGAGUGUUGUUGUGGGUCCCUCGGAUUCAUCCAAUUAUUUUUUGUUGAAUGAAAAUGCUUAACUAAAAAAUAAUAACACAAACGAUAUGCAUAGGUUGCAUCAACAAAAAGUACCCUUCAAAGUUCCAUUGAUAAUGAAUACACAAACGAUACGCAUAAGUUGCAUCAACAAAAAGACUAUUAUUUUUUAUUUCACUACAAGGUUCAGGCAAAUAAAACAUGUUGCUUAUUCUCGCACUACUGCCAUUGUUUACACUGCUGGCAUCCUCAGAAUGUGCACAACACAUAUGAUGUUCAUGUCGCCGCCAUUGCUGGGUUUGAAGCUAAAAACGAUGGCAUCGCCUUCUUCAAGGUUGUUCUGGGUUGCAAAUAUAACCCAUUGAUUGGUGAGAACCAUCCGUCCAUCGCAAUUAGUGUGGAAUGCAACAUUCAUGCUUUCUCCAGCUCUAAGGCAAAUGCCAGCUACACCCACUGGUGGUAAGGUCAGUUGUUCAGCCACUUUCCUUGUGAUUUUCUAUAUAAUAAUGAUAGACACAAGAAAAAGAAAAAACAUGUUAGAAAAGAAAAGGCCACAAUGAACAAAUAAUAGUAAAGGGUACAUGACACUUACCAUGGUCUUCUUGCUUAUGUUUGUGGUUGUCAAGCGAUGAAUAAAAAAAGAUCCAAUAUACCCGUCAUUGUUGGUAAGAACCACAUCCAACAAUGAUCAUUCAGCGUCACUCAGCACACAUCCAUGUGUGUACACAAGUUCUCGGGCAUUUGCUUUCUCAUGGUCAUCAUUUUCAUCUGACUCAAUGUCGAAAAUCUCUACACCAGCACCCUUGCCUACUUCGUCCUCGUCUGCAACAAUAUUCUCGUUUGGGUCCCCAUCAUUUGCAAGAUGUGCAAAACCAAGAUGGGCCACCUACGCCUCUGCCGUUCGCUUAGAUGUGUCAAAAACAACUAAUGCAUUGGCCCCAAUAUUGAAGUCCGCGACAAACUUCACCAAAUCAUUGCCGCCCAUCACUGUGGUAAUGUCCCUUUGUACACAUCCAAUACAUACCUAUUCCCAUGUGCUUUGAAAUUGAAGGACCUUCCAGCUACGUGCUUUAGACUAUCCCUUAUAGUGCAUGGUAUAUUCUACAGAAAAGACAAAUACAAACAACAUGGUAAAUAGAAAAAACAUAGAGACAUUAAGAGCAUGUCAAAAAAAAUGAUAAAACAUUACUAUGAACUCAACGUCAUUGUUGACAUAAAUUGUCCAUCUCUCAGUGGCGUUGUUCUCGCACCGUGCAUGGUAAACUGGGCAAACCAUCCUUUUCAAGAUACAACAAAAAUAAAAUGGUUACGUACAUAAUAAUUAAAUGUUCGAUUAAAAAUAUGAAAACAUCAAAAUAAAGAUAACUAAGAAAACCUACAAAUCUUCUAAGAACAACUAAAUGUCCUCUUCAACAACACCUACUUAAAACAAACAUAAAAUGGGGAAAGGAAAAGACUCACCUAUCAUAUAUUUGAAACUCUUAUAUAAUAAGUACAUCAUCUAACAACUACAAAAAAAAUCCCUAAUCUAAUACAUCAUCAAACAUCUAACCUAACCGCAAUAUUUAAUCAAAUUGAUAAUAUAACCUAACCUAACCAUGCCUAAAAAACUAUAUCACCUAACCUAAUACAUCAUCUAAUACAUAAUAUAACCUAACCUAGUCGAACAUAUAAGAAAUACAUCAUCUAACAAAUACAAUACAAUCUCUAAUACUAAUACAAAAUCAACUAAUCAAACAUAACCUAAUAUUCAAAAAAACAAUCAAAAUAAGAUGUUCAAACAAAAGAAAAUUGAAGGGAUUGGGGAAGAUUACGUCAACGAAGCUUUGGGUAAUCCAAUUUAGUGAUUUUGGUGGAGGAGGAAGUAGAUUAAGUGGGGGGAGGGUGUGAGGGGAAGAUGGGGAGAGAGAGAGAUGAGUUCUGGCGGCUGAGGGUGGAGGAAGAAGAUGGGCUGGUGGGUGGGUUGGGCCAAGGGGUUAUUUAAAUUACCCGAGCCAGAUGUCAGGGUUUCUGGCGUCUGGGUCUGGGGCAGACGUCGGGGACUCUGGCGUCUGGGUCCCUUCGCCACGUCACCUGGUCAACGCGAGGCAGAUCGAGUGGGCCAUACCAGACGCCAGGGUCCCUGACGUCUUCUGCGCAACCGAGACGUUAGGGACGUUGGCGUCAUGCAAAAAGGUCAAACCAGAAAAUAUUUUGAAAUGCAGGUCGGAUCGGUAUUUACUUCACAUUGAAGGUUAUAACAAAAAAAAUCGGCCCAUAUAUACGCGAGCCGAGCUAUCAGCACGUACAGAGCCACCGCCGCCCGGGAGAUAGCCAGCACAAGAAACCCACGGGCGCCGCAACUUUUCCACGCGUGCGACGUGACGAACGCCCGGCAGUAAUUUUCCUCUACUCCUGCCUACGUCUCUACGCGAACAUCACUGUUCGUCGCGCCCGUUCCACCGUAGGCGAAGACUUAUAUUGCUCAGGACUUGUAGAAAUAUUUAGAGCGACACCGAUCGAUCGCCGGAAGGUUCCGCCGCCGGUGAAGCGUGGAGGCGACGAUCGCGUGCAGCGUGCUGAUCGACGCCUGGCUCGGCACCAUGCAUCGUCACGCACACGCAGAAUUAGGUUCCGUCGGGUCCGUGUCGGGGGCACAGGGGCAGUCGGUUGCACCACUCGCUUGCUCUGCGUGCGUGCGCACGCAUGCAGCCGGUCGAGGACGGACGGGCACGGCUCUACCGAAUGGAACGGGUCUGAGAUGAGAUGAGAUCAUGGCGAGCUACCAAGUGCUACGAGUGGUGCAGCUCCUGUGCGACGUCCUUCUCGUCGGUUUAACUGCGUGGAAUGGAUUUUGGGUCGUCGUCUCCAGCUACUUGGCCAUUUAUCGCAGACGAUGGAGAAGUAAUCCCGAAAGAAGUGUGUGUGUGUAUACGGUGUGGUAAUACACACGUCGGCGCGUGCCGCCUCACCGCUACUUGGUAGUACUCCGUACAUCCAAGGGCAGAAGACCCAAAUUCGUUUCUAGCUCGUCGUCUAGCUAGUCGAUUCUUCUCCCGAAAACGACUCGCGCAACCCCCUCGCGUCGCUCCCGCGAGCGACCGAGGGGGCGAACCGCCUCCAGCUCCCUCCCUCAUCGUCCCCGGCGUGCGCCGCUGCUCCGGUCAGCGUAGGCGGCGGCGGGAUCCCCUUCUUCUCACACGAUGCCGGGCGGCAUGGGACGACGGCUUCAACGACGACGUCUUGCGGAUCCAUGGCACGACGACACGACGGAUCCUGACGGCGGUGCUUGGCGACGCGGGUGGAUCGGUUUGUCGUGGCGUGCCGGUUGGCUGGACGAGGCUAGAAGAUGGAGGUGGGGCGGGGCGUGGCCUGUGGCGAUGGCGUCCAAUCCGGAUCUGGUCUUGACGGUGGUGAUCGUGACGGCUGGCCCGGAUCUGACCAUGGUGGUGGCGGCGUCCCCUUCGCCGGGGAUGACGGGCCAGGUGGUGGGUCCUUGUGGCGGCGCCGAUGACGUCGUAUCUUGGGAUCUCGUGUCCGGACUCGUCGCAAGACGCGCAUGGCGGUCAAAGCUUCCUCCGGCGUCGACGGUGCUUGAUGCAGGAUCGCGGCGGCGGUUGACGUUGUAUGGGCGACCACAGCGUGUGGCGCGACGGUGGGUGCUCCCUGUAGCGCUCGGAAUCGGGGCGGCUGCCCCUCUUCAUCAACAACGACGGACUCCGGGAUCGUGUGGGCGACCCAGAGUCCGAAUCUCGAGAUGGUGACGGCCUUCUGAGGCUGGUGGCGGUAUGUGACGUCCCCUUCAUCAACAUAUCGGGUCGAUGCGGCUCGACAUGUGACACAUAGCCUCUCUCGAAGUUGUCGGGCGGUGCCUGUCGUUGGCAGGUGAAGCUACCGGUGGAUGUACUACCGGCGGAUGCUACGCACAACGUCUUAUACGGAGACGUCAAGUCAUGCCUUCUACCGGUAGGUGAUGCACGACGGUUCUAUUGGAGGUGUUUUACCCUUAUCGAAGGUCUUGUGCGAGGGAUUUCAAGGAUACUUUGGGCUAUCUCGAGGUUGAGGUUUUUCAUCAGGAAUCCAAGGAGAUCACGGGUUUUCCGUGGUCGAGGUUUCUAACGUAGCUUGUGGUAGUUUGUGAUGGACUAGUUGGGGCAUUUCGAAAAGCCAUGCCCGCGGUUAUGUGGCAAUUUAAAAACUUUGUUUAACACCUGGUCAUUGCAAACUUGAAGUAAACUUAAUCAAAAAAUGUCAACUGUGUGCGUAAGUGUGACUGUCUCUACUCGUGAGUUCUGCAUCCGAGAGAGGACACGGUGUGGUUAUGUUUGACUCGUAAGUAGGUGUUCAGUGUCACUUCGUGAUCAUGACUAGUUCACGUCCGUUAUGCGUAGAUCACCCUCCUAUUAUUUUUGUACUCGUAAGUUAGUCACUCAAAUAAAUGCUUAGUGCUUGUUGUAGCCUCACCACUUCACCAUACCUCAUCCAUUAAGCUUUGCUAGUCUUUAUAUCUUUGGAAAUGAGAUUGCUCAACCCCUGUGACUCACACAUUACUACAACAAUAGUUGCAGGUACAGGUAAAGCUAUACUUUAACAUGCGUGUGAUGAUUGUUCUAUUUGGAGUUUCUUCUUCUUAAUCAUCAUCUAUGUAGGAUAGGUUCCGGACCGACAGCCUGGGAUAGCAAGGAUGAACAUCGUUCUUUUAUCGUUUGGUUUCAUCUGUAGUCGGACCCUGCUCUUCUACAUGAUGUUUGAAUGUAUUGUUGUAUUGAGAUGCUCAUGUUGUAGCUUGUGGCGAGUGUAAGCCAAAUCCAUAUACUCAUCUCUUCUGUACAUGUACUUAUAACGAUAUCCAUUUUUACAAAACAACGAGAUGCACCUCAAUUCCUAUUGAGGCCCUCGAGCCAAAAUAAAGAUAGGAUCGCAUCUUGGACGUUACAGAUUAUGAGGCGAACACGUGGAGCUACUCCUUACGGCACGACAUGCUUCACACCAUUUAACGCCCACACAUGCUCUCACGAAUAACUCGGCAAAUGUGAUGACACAUCAAGUAGUGUGAAGGUUGUUGUUACACUAUAGCAAUCCCCCAAAUAAAAUCCCACUAGCUAAUUGCCCAUGUGUUGCAACAUCGGCAUACGUAUUCUAAUAGUUAGACAUCAAGCAUGUUUGAUAUAUAUGUUACACCAGUCAUAUUCUAGAUUUUGGUAAAAGUUAAUUUGAUUUGAGUAAGGGUUGAUGGAAGUUCUGAUUUAGUUACAGUUUUGGUAAGAUUCUAUUAUAUUUUGGCAUAGGUAUGAAGGCAAAGAAACUUUUAAUUUAGUGGAGGUUUUGGUAAGAUGUGAUUUGAUUUGAUUAAAUUAAUGCAAGUGCUUUUGGUAAGAUUUGAUUCAGUUAUUUUAGAGCAUGGUUUCCAUUAGGACAAGCAAAUGAAAACACCGAUAUAGUUUAGAUUAUUCGAAAUCAGGGGAAGACGAAACCACAUUUGGAGAGGUACAAGCAUCAAUCCUUUGAUAGUAGAAAUGCAUGUGAUAAGCUCACUCGAAACUUAAGCUAUUAAAAACACAUGGAUGAUAUAUUAAAGUGUUUAGAAAUAUGUAUGAGUUUGUCUCUUUAUGUCUCUAUUUUUGCCUACAACUAGGUAUAAAAUUGACACCAUCCUAAAUACAACUUUAAUCCGGCCAAAUUCAAAAAACAGGGGAAUAGAACCAGGGUGACAACUGUUGGAAUUAUGCCCUAGAGGCAAUAAUAAAUAUAGUUAUUAUUAUAAUUCCUGUAUCAAGAUAAUCGUUUAUUAUCCAUGCUAUAAUUGCAUUGAAUGAAGACUCAUUUACAUGUGUGGAUACAUAGACAAAACACCGUCCCUAGCAAGCCUCUAGUUGGCUAGCCAGUUGAUCAAAGAUAGUCAGUGUCUUCUGAUUAUAAACAAGGUGUUGUUGCUUGAUAACUGGAUCACGUCAUUAGGAGAAUCACGUGAUGGACUAGACCCAAACUAAUAGACGUAGCAUGUUGAUCGUGUCAUUUUGUUGAUACUGUUUUCUGCGUGUCAAGUAUUUAUUCCUAUGACCAUGAGAUCAUAUAUCUCACUGACACCGGAGGAAUGCUUUGUGUGUAUCAAACGUCGCAACGUAACUGAGUGACUAUAAAGAUGCNCGGGAGUUCACCGGGGAGGGGGGGGCAACCCACCCCGGGGAAGCCCAUAGGCCUUGAGGGUGGCACACCAGCCCUUAGUGGGCUGGUGGGACAGCCCAAAAGGGCUUUAUGCACCAAGAAGAGAAAAUCAAGAGAAAAGAAAAAAACAGGAGGAGGUGGGAAGGAAGGGGGACUCCCUCCCACCAAACCAAGUCCAACUCGGUUUGGGGGGGGGAGUCCUCCCCCCUUGGACUCGGCCGACCCCUUUGGGGCUCCUUGAGCCCCAAGGCAAGGUCCCCUCCCUCCCACCUAUAUAUAUGGAGGUUUUAGGGCUGAUUUGAGACGACUUUUUCACGGCAGCCCGACCACAUACCUCCAUGGUUUUUCCUCUAGAUCGCGUUUCUGCGGAGCUCAGGCGGAGCCCUGCUGAGACAAGGUCAUCACCAACCUCCGGAGCGCCGUCACGCUGCCGGAGAACUCUUCUACCUCUCCGUCUCUUUUGCUGGAUCAAGAAGGCCGAGAUCAUCGUCGAGCUGUACGUGUGCUGAACGCGGAGGUGCCGUCCGUUCGGUACUAGAUCGUGGGACUGAUCGCGGGAUUGUUCGCGGGGCGGAUCGAGGGACGUGAGGACGUUCCACUACAUCAACCGCGUUCACUAACGCUUCUGCUGUACGAUCUACAAGGGUACGUAGAUCACUCAUCCCCUCUCGUAGAUGGACAUCACCAUGAUAGGUCUUCGUGCGCGCAGGAAAUUUUUUGUUUNNNNNNNNNNNNNNNNNNNNNNNNNNNNNNNNNNNNNNNNNNNNNNNNNNNNNNNNNNNNNNNNNNNNNNNNNNNNNNNNNNNNNNNNNNNNNNNNNNNNNNNNNNNNNNNNNNNNNNNNNNNNNNNNNNNNNNNNNNNNNNNNNNNNNNNNNNNNNNNNNNNNNNNNNNNNNNNNGCGACGUUCCCCAACAACAACAUGAUAGGGGAACGAGAGACUUCUAGUCAUGGCAGUUGUCAUCGAUCCACGAAUCAAGGGAUGAAUCAAGACGCCUCUCUCUUCAAGGGAGAUACAGGAACAAAGCAUCGUAUGAAGGAGAGCGGAUAGUACUUCCGAUUGUGGCAGUUAGCAUCAAUGCAUCAAUGCGUGGAAGGAGGGAAGAAACACGAAAACACGACACAUUCCCCUCCCAAUAUAGGGAAACAAACUAUAUAGUUUUGAGGAGAGUCGAUAAUACUUUUGGUCAUGGCGGUUGGCGUCGAUGCACGGAUCGAGGGAAGAAUCAUUCUCUUGCGGGGAGAUACAGUCAAAUGAGAUUCGUUUCGCGAAGAGUGAAUACUACUUAUGUCGUGGCAAUUGUCGUGAAUGCACAUAUUGCGGGAGGAAGCGCGGCGCAUUCCCCCCCCCCCCCCNNNNNNNNNNNNNNNNNNNNNNNNNNNNNNNNNNNNNNNNNNNNNNNNNNNNNNNNNNNNNNNNNNNNNNNNNNNNNNNNNNNNNNNNNNNNNNNNNNNNNNNNNNNNNNNNNNNNNNNNNNNNNNNNNNNNCAUUCCCCCCCCCCCACCCCAGAUAGGAAAAUGUAUCUCAGUUACAAGGAGAGACGACAAUACUUUCGAUCGUGACAGAUGGCGUCGACGCACGGCUAAAAAAACGCAAAGAGGGACAUUUUUCUCAGAUAGAAAAACAGACCUCAAUUUCACGAAAAGCGGAUAGCAAGGAAUUGGUUCGGAGAGCAAUUGGUGGGUGGGGUGUUAGUUUUUGUUGUCCCCCCUAUCAUCAUAACUAUUGGGGAAGUGGAGUGUGGAUAUGCCAAAGCCAAAACACAACUUUACUCGGCACAUGCGUUAUUCUCACUGUGCGAGGAAACCGGGAACGGGAGCCGGGUCCAAGGCCAAAAUGCAAAUCUACUCAAACAGGAACGCAAACCAAUCGAAUCGAAUCGUCCAAGACGCGGUCAAUUGCAUUGCCUUGCCCGCGGGUAUCAUUGUCGAUCCAUCGCCCCUCUCCCGUCCGCGCCUCCAUCUUUCUUCUCCUCCUUCUCUUCGUCCCCGAACCUUAUUUAUGCCCCCGGCGGCCGCGGCCGCGGCCUCCCUCCCCUGACGGACGGAGAAAAGAUCCCGAGCACCUGCACCACCACCAGCACCACCUCCGCCGACCAACUUCCCAUUUCGAAGAAGCCCACCCGAGCCUAAACAAACCGAAAAGGAAAGAAGGAAAGGCGGGCGGCAGGUGCGUGCGUCGGCGUCGGCCGCGAGAAUUUAGCACCCGCCGCGCCCGUGCCGAGGGAGAUGAGAUGAGAUGAGAUGGGCAUGAGGUGCUGCAAGAGGCACCCGUCGCAGGCCGGCGGCGGCGUCUGCGCCACGUGCCUGCGGGACCGCCUGCUCGUGCUCGCCGCCGCGCAGAACGACGCCUCGUCGCCGUCCACUCCUCCGCCCGCCGCUNNNNNNNNNNNNNNNNNNNNNNNNNNNNNNNNNNNNNNNNNNNNNNNNNNNNNNNNNNNNNNNNNNNNNNNNNNNNNNNNNNNNNNNNNNNNNNNNNNNNNNNNNNNNNNNNNCCGCCGCCCCCUCCCCCGCCCGCCGCUCACCCUCCGGCCGCGGCCCCGGCCCCGGCGUUCCCAAGGUCCGUGUCGCCCUACGUGUCCCGCAGGAAGUCCGACUCCUCGGGCGGCGCGCUCAGGCACCACCACCCGAGCCUGCUCUUCUUCCGGACGCCGCAGGUCGGCCCAGCCUACGGCGGCAGCGCCCCGCUCGAGGAAGGCGACAUCGGGUACCACAAGCCGCGCGCCGGCAAGUUCUCCCUGCUCUCCACGCUCUUCGGGAACCACCACCACCGCCACCACGGGUCGGAGGACAAGGACACAGCCAAGGAGCGCAAGAAGAGCCGUUCUUGGCUCGUCGGGAUCAUCCCGCGCCGUCGCAAAAAACAGGUACCGGCCGACGCCGUGCUACCCGCGUCGCCGCCGCCCAGGCGCUCCUGCCGCGUGGUCAGCAACCGGGGGCUGUCGCCGGAGAGGGGCAGUCAGGGCAGCGGCGAGGAGAGCAGCUCGCCCGCUGAACCCGCGUGGCGGCCGUCACCUUCCCCGAUGCGGAGGACCCCGUGCCGGCGCCGCCAGACCAACAGCAUGCCUUCGGGACUGGCCGUCUGCCUCAGCCCGCUGGUGCGGCCAAGCCCCGGGCGCCGCCACCGCGCCGCGCAGCCGCCGGACCCCGGCUCCUUCUCCUCCGAGCUGCGGCCGUCGCCGCUCCACAGCGCCGCCUCCGUUGGCCGCUGCCGCUCCAGGAAGCUCGCCGACGGCGGUCGCUUCCGGUGAUCUCUUCUUUUUUCUUUCUUCUCCUUGAAUUUUCUUUAGUCUUCCUUCAUCACCCGAUCCCAAUUACUACCACCCUUAGCUUUCUGUGGAUAUUUUUAUUGUUUACAUCUUGUCCAUUUGUGAAGAUGAGUCCGUGAGAUUUCAUACUCGGAGAACACUCCGUUGACAUAUAUACUACAACCACUAGGUUAUUACUCCUGAUUGCUCGCCCGCUGAUCAUCUUUUGAGACUGUAAUGAGUUGGGUGUUCACCUCCUUUGUGCAGCUAGCCGUCUGGUUCUAAACUUCUAAUCUGAUUUGAUUUGCAAAAACUUAAUCCGUUGCCGCUUUGAUGUCCGGGAAUUAAGAAGGAAUAGACUUUACUGACGCGUGAUGGCAGUAGGUACGGGGAAUGCAUAGUGUAUGGAAUUGAAUGCCCGAGUUAUGAGCGCGAGAGAUCUGGUGUGUGUGUGUGCGCCGAUUAAAUUAGAAAAGAAGGUUCGCCAUCGCAUUGUGCUGUCCGAACGGAAUUCUGAAUCUGAGGCGGCCGAUGGAUACUCCCUACUACUACUCCCUACCACUGCUCCGUGAGAGACGCAUCAAAUCAAUUCCGUUUGGUCAGAGGUUUCACAUGGAGGCCGGCAGCACAUUUAUAUGGGCGGCCGAUGGCUGCUCCCGCCUCCAUUUACUCUUUUUCGUUUGCGGGUGCACCAAACCGGACUAAUCAAUGAUCCCCAACCUCCUCCUGCUAGCUCUGACCCGCGUUAUUGAGCAUCUUGUUCCCGCCAACUUGUGCAUGCGCACACCGACCAGACGAGACACGAAAAAGAAGAAUCAUUUGUCGCGGCAGUGCAUUUCGCUUGAAUUACACGAAAGUUGACGCCAAUUCGCAGGGGAUUCUCCGUAUGCUCUCGCGUGAUGUGUUUGUGUUUUGCUGGUGACUUGUGGGUUUUCCACGACGUGAGUGGGGGAUACUGGGAUGAGAUGACCAUGAU